GUUAUUUUGGCAGACUAGUGCAAUAGAUUUAGAAUCUUUCAAUGUAAAUUAUUUUACAAAUAACA
rnacentral:tRNA from 1 species